GACGAACCGUGCGAACGUUGUUCGGAUUCACUGGGCUUAAAGGGCGCGUAGGCGGCUUGCCAAGUCAUGGGUGAAAUCUUUCGGCUCAACCGGAAAAGUGCUUCUGAUACUGGCGGGCUGGAGGGGGGUAGGGGCAGAUGGAACUUCCGGUGGAGCGGUGAAAUGCGUAGAUAUCGGAAGGAACACCGGUGGCGAAAGCGGCGCGCUGGACCUCUACUGACGCUGAGGCGCGAAAGCCAGGGGAGCAAACGGG
rnacentral:rRNA from 1 species